rfam:Citrus sinensis cultivar Ridge Pineapple sweet orange scaffold04840_contig_1, whole genome shotgun sequence.
AUGCCAUGGUGAGGACAUCUUCUGAGCAACUUCUUAAAUCUCUCCGAAGCCUCGUACAAGCUUUCAUCUUUAAGUUGAUGAAAAGAAGUGAUUUCAUUAUGCAAUUU